rnacentral:rRNA from 1 species
CAGUCGCCGCGGUAAUACAGAGGGUGCGAGCGUUAAUCGGAUUUACUGGGCGUAAAGCGUGCGUAGGCGGCUUCUUAAGUCGGAUGUGAAAUCCCCGAGCUUAACUUGGGAAUUGCAUUCGAUACUGGUUAGCUAGAGUGUGGGAGAGGAUGGUAGAAUUCCAGGUGUAGCGGUGAAAUGCGUAGAGAUCUGGAGGAAUACCGAUGGCGAAGGCAGCCAUCUGGCCUAACACUGACGCUGAGGUACGAAAGCAUGGGGAGCAAACAGGAUUAGAUACCCGUGUAGUCCCUGUCUCUUAUAC